UCGCGGCGAUAGAAAAUGCACUAGCGACGGGGAAGGAUGCGCAAUGCCGAGGCGAAGCUAACGCACUCAAGAACGCAAGCAAUGGCGGAGAGGAGAGGGAGAACCGGGCGAGCCGAGAGGUCGCCGGGGCUCCGACUCACUCCGGUGAGCUCUACCGGGCACAAGGGGCUUACCGAACGCGAUUGAGCGCGAGCGCGGGGUGCGGAAAGGCGAGGCAGAGUCGCUGGUGGUUGCGGAUGGGAGGGAGGAGGCCGGAGCUGGCGAGGAGAAGAGCUCUGAGCGUCGGCGGCAAUGGCGAGCGGCGGAG
rnacentral:lncRNA from 1 species